rnacentral:lncRNA from 1 species
GUCAGCUGGCUUCAGGGCGGGCCAGGGAGGAGACCCGGAAGUCCAAAGUCUGAAAUAGGUUAGCGUAUAUCAUAUGCCCUGGUAGAGAGAAUUUGGAUCCCCUAGCCCCGAGGGGCAAUUUUGGAGAAAUAGAGAGCCAGGCAGCCAGGCCAGUGAAAAGGCAGUAGGGGGAAAGAAUGCUGGGAUGGCGGUUGGGUGUCCCCUGUGAGUUCUGGCUUUGGCAGGGCGAUCCAUCUAGAGCAGAGCUUCCCCUCUCCGACCCAUUGUUGCUGUUGGAGCAUCGGGUCAGAUGACUCACCCGCAAAGUGCUUAGAACAGGCUCUAGAGCGUACCCAAUCACAUUAGACGUUCAUUAUCAUCACCACCCACCGGCCUCGUGAACGGAUCUAGAACCUUGAGAUAGAAGGGGUGCCGUCCCCAACUGCAUCCGCCUUGAAGUGCUCUCUACGUCUCCUUUGCUUCUGAGGUGGAGCACUUUUCUGCUUCUCUUCCCACCUGCCAGGUCCUGCUGGCCGUUGUGGUUUGUGGCACCUGUGUCCUCUGGCUGGGCGUCGACUGUCAGUUCUCCCCUGGGCUCUGUCUUGGGCCCCUACUCUUCUGCCCUCGUACCUCUGCUUAUGCCAUCGCAUCCUCCCCGAGUCUUUGAUGAUUUGUCCCUCUCUGAUGGCCGCAGUACCACAGCUCCAGCCCACAUCUUCCACGUUUCAGGACUUUUCCAGGACAUUGCAGGCAAACGGAGCGACAUGUAGAACAGCAGAAGCAAGGAACUGCAGAACUCGUUAAUUCAAAUGCAACAUGGCGAGGUUCCAUAGCAGCCCACGUGGACGUUGUGAGGGUAAAAAAGGAGGAAAUGCAUUUUACAUACAUAAGGUACUACUAACAAGAAUAUGCGUUUAAAGUUCCUAGAUGCAUGCCCCAACAAUAACUGUGGUAUCUGCAUGGAUUUCAUUAGGGCUUUUCCUGCGAAGAGUGUAAAACUCUUAAAUAUAUCAUAAAAUAUUAUUGGCAGUGGUGUUAGGAGAGGAAAUUAGUCACCAAACAAAACAGACAAGAAAACCGUGAAACCUGACAAGGACAGUGUGUUGGAGUUAGGGGAUAUCCAACGGAGGGUGAGAUCAGCCUCACCCAAAGAAAGGUGAGAAUUUGCCUGACAGAUGGGAAUCCAAAGAGCGGGAGGAGAGGGAGCUCAUUCAGGUAGAUGGAACGACAUGUAUAACCAUGCGGGGGCAUGAAACGGGCCACAUUCUCUUUGAUCGGUAAUUAUGCCUAUACAUAGAAAAUUGCAUAGACCAUUCAAACAAGUUUGAGGUCUUGGUUUUCUCUCUCAGAGGGUUUAUAACGUAACUGAAUAGGUCAGGUGCAAGUAUGGGAAGAAGAUAUUGACAAUAUGUGAUGGAAGCCUGAUAACAUAAAUUUUGUCGGAUGAAUGAAUGAUGACAGGAUGUGCUGAAUGCCAAAUGGCUGAUGCCAACUGUGAGAUCUUCAAGGGGCACAGGGCAGGGGAUAUUCAUUUUUGGAUGGGUGCUAUGACCUGACUUCUUUUACCACUGUCAUCCUGCUGCCGGGUGGAAAAUAAAAUAUAAAAGGGAGGCA